AUGAUUUCGAUGAAGGCGAUAUCUCUUUUGAUACUCCCUUUGUACACAUUGAAUGGAGCUGAAUCAAUAACAGAGAACAGAAAAAAAGUACACAAGCAGGCGACAUCACUCGCAGAACAGAAUACCAAAGAGGAAAACAACGAAGCGAUUAGAUCAGCCUGGUUUACAUUAUUCAAAAACCCAAGGUACGAAAAUGCAGAAAGGGUUGAAACUUAUUUGAGCGGAACAGGGCUGGAAAAUGCGGACGACAUUGAAAAGAAAAUGACAGAGGAGAACGAAAAAGUGAUUUUUCCGAGGCAAAUACUCGUUGAAACAUCUGGAUUGAAGAAACUACAUUUGGAUACGCGUGGAUUUAGGGCGCCAGAUUUACAUGACCGAAGACAAAAGACCUUGUUACAAGAGGAUAAAUAUGAUUAUGACGCGCCCGACACCAGACGCUACCCCGAUGACAGAGGCAUGACUUUCUACUCCGGUCGCACGACAUCCAGAUAUUUUCCCGAUUUCGAACAGGAUCGUUGAUGUGUUUAAAGAAUCCAUUCGUAUAAGAACCCAUGCAAUUUCAAAAACUGUAGAAAAAUAACUAGAGCCUAGUAAUAGACUGUUGAAUUAUAAAUAGAAGCAGUAGUUUAUAAAAUUGAUUUGACUCUAAAACUCAAAAGAAGAAACCAAGUAACAUAAAUGUACCUCGAAUAGAAUAUAUAAGUAUAGGAUCAAUAUGACCCCCUAUAAAAUAAUCCAGAUAAGGUUUAUAGAUAUUCCAAUACUAAACACUUUAAUCUUAUUGAUAUCAGGGUUUUUUGUUACAUGAGCACAUUACGAGUUAACAAUAAAUAGGUUUAAAAAUGUUAAAUCUGGAUUAGUUAUAUCUAUUUUAUUAGGGUUUUACUUUCUGAUAAUUCAAAGAUAUGAAUAUCUAAACUCUAAUUUUAGAUUUAAUGAUAGAGUAUUUGGAAAUUCUUUUUCAUUUUAACAGGAUUUCAUGGUUUACAUGUAAUAAUUGGUUUAAUCUUUCUCAGUUUUUUAAUGAUUCAACUAGUUAAAAAAGGAUUUAGAUUGAUAAAUUUUCAUGGGUAUGAUGGUAAUUUAUCGGAAUAAUAAUAAAAAAAACCUGGUUAUUUAUGUUCUUUCACCUGUUAUUCCAUGGAUUCGCUACGUGCGCGAGCUUUGCUAUGGAAUUUUCUUUUAUGUCUUAAUGGGUGGUAUACAAGGUUUAAUUUUAGUAUAGUUACGUGAAGGCAUUGCCCUCGUGUUAUCUUAUGUCUGUCCAUCACAUCACAUCUUUCUCCCCAUUCCUAUAGUUUACAGUCAAGAUCAAUGCUGAUAGUAUUAUCAGUUCUGUGCAACAUGAAUUGUUUCAAACUUACAAGUUCAAUCUCUCAUCACCCCUCAGAGCUUCAGCUUUUCCUAGUUUUUCAGUGAUUUCCGCUCACGAUCUCUCAGAGUCCAGGUGCAUGUGACUGACCAACUGUCUCUUUGAUCCAACUGAGCGCACCGAACACGGUGCUCGUGGCGGUCGACGCGCGGCGUGAAUAACGCAUAUUGGCGCCUGCAAGACUACAAAAAUACUUCACGCAUUGCGCGUUCACUACGGCGCGCGCCUUAAUCGUUAAAAUCGUUAUUGUUCAUGCCGGACCCAACACGGACCACAGAGCCACCGUCCGAAGUAAAAACGCUGUAUCUUUAUUCAACAUGU
rnacentral:lncRNA from 1 species